AGAUGGACGAGAAGCUGAGUGCAGGCCUAAGCUCAUCACAGAGGAACUUGUAGCCUUCCGCUUCCCAAUUACCUCUUGUGGCUCAACCCAGCGGGAGGAGAUUGGAAGCUUUGUGUAUGAAACUGACAUCUUGGGGAAGAGGAUGAUUCGGACGGGGCAACAGGGCUCAAUAACCAGGGACAGCACCUUCAGCCUGCACGUCCAGUGCAAGUACAAGGGGGAGCAUGAAGCUGGCUUACAGAUCAACGUCUCAGUUUACACACUCCCUCCACCACUAGCUGCUUCUGAAGAUGGGAUUCUGAGG